GCCAGGCGCGGUGGCGCGUGCCUGUAGUCCCAGCUACUCAGGAGGCUGAGGUGGGAGGAUUGCUUGAGUCCAGGAGUUCUGGGCUGUAGUGCGCUAUGCUGAUCCGGUGUCUGCACUAAGUUCGGCAUCAAUAUGGUGACCUCCCAGGAGUGGGAGACCACCAGGUUGCUUAAGGAGGGGUGAACCGCCCAGGUUGGAAAUGGGGCAGGUCAAAACUCCUGUGCUGAUCAGUAGUGGGAUCACGCCUGUGAAUAGCCACUGCACUCCAGCCUGGGCAAUACAGCGAGACCGCGUCUCUU
ensembl:misc_RNA Metazoa_SRP Metazoan signal recognition particle RNA